UACGUAGGGUGCGAGCGUUAAUCGGAAUUACUGGGCGUAAAGCGUGCGCAGGCGGUUCGUUGUGUCGGCGGUGAAAGCCCCGGGCUUAACCUGGGAAUGGCCGUUGAAACUGGCGAACUGGAGUGUGGCAGAGGGGGGUGGAAUUCCGCGUGUAGCAGUGAAAUGCGCAGAUAUCGGGAGGAACACCGGUGGCGAAGGCGACUGCCUGGACCGUGGCUGACGCUGAGGCGCGAAAGCGUGGGGAGCGAUCCGG
rnacentral:rRNA from 1 species